CUGGGGAGGCUGUGCCUGGGCUUUCCCUGGGGUACUUUGAAGGAAAGGGCGUUCUGUUCGUGUGCACCAGCAGAUGCUUUGGUCUCAUUCAUGAGGUUUGAUUUUUUUAAACAUGCAGUCCUACACUUUGGGCGACUGAGGAAAGGUGGAUCACUUGAGGCCAGGAGUUUGAGACCAGCCUGGCCAUCAUGGUGAAAUUCCAUCUCUUUUUUUUUGAGACGGACUCUUGCUCUGUCGCCCAGGCUGGAUCUCGGCUCACUGCAAGCUGCGCCUCCCGGUUCACUCCAUUCUCCUGCCUCAGCCUCCCGAG
rnacentral:lncRNA from 1 species